rnacentral:misc_RNA from 1 species
ACUUAGCAUACAAAAAAUUUUUUAUUUUGAAUUUUCGUGAACAUGGGUAAAACUAAGCCACAGCGAUUAACAACUGCAGUUUUCCAAAGUUAAGAGUUGCUCUGGUUUCAUGGUUCACAAACUGAAAAUUUAUGGGAUAGUAAGCAAUCGUUGCAGUUCUGAUAAUUAAGAAAUUCAAUGGAGCAUCCUAAAAGACUUUUAUGAUUGUUCCGGUUUUG